rnacentral:rRNA from 1 species
UACGAAGGGUGCAAGCGUUACUCGGAAUUACUGGGCGUAAAGCGUGCGUAGGUGGUUUGUUAAGUCAGACGUGAAAUCCCUCAGCUUAACUGGGGAACUGCGUCUGAGACUGGAUGGCUUGAGUGCAGGAGAGGAACGCGGAAUUCCAGGUGUAGCGGUGAAAUGCGUAGAUAUCUGGAGGAACACCGGUGGCGAAGGCGGCGUUCUGGACUGCAACUGACACUGAGGAACGAAAGCCAGGGGAGCAAACGGG